rnacentral:ncRNA from 1 species
AAAGGCAUGGUCCCGACCUUAUUAUCAGCUCUUACCCAACUUACACAUGCAAGUCUCCGCAAUCCCGUGAGUAUGCCCUUAAUCCCCUACCCGGGGACGAGGAGCGGGCAUCAGGCACAAAUUUUAGCCCAAGACGCCUGGCCAAGCCACACCCCCAAGGGAAUUCAGCAGUGAUAAACAUUAAGCCAUAAGUGAAAACUUGACUCAGUCAGGGUUAAGAGGGCCGGUAAAACUCGUGCCAGCCACCGCGGUUAAACGAGAGGCCCCAGUUGAUAGCACCACGGCGUAAAGGGUGGUUAAGGAAAGCAAGACAAUUUUUUAAAGCCAAAUGGCCCUUUGGCCGUCAUACGCUUCUAGGUGUCCGAAGCCCAAUAUACGAAAGUAGCUUUAACAAAGCCCACCUGACCCCACGAAAACUGAGAAACAAACUGGGAUUAGAUACCCCACUAUGCUCAGCCAUAAACCUAGACGUCCAACUACAAUUAGACGUCCGCCCGGGUACUACGAGCAUUAGCUUGAAACCCAAAGGACCUGACGGUGCCUCAGACCCCCCUAGAGGAGCCUGUUCUAGAACCGAUAACCCCCGUUAAACCUCACCACUUCUAGCCAUCCCAGCCUAUAUACCGCCGUCGUCAGCUUACCCUGUGAAGGUAAUAAAAGUAAGCAAAAUGGGCACAACCCAGAACGUCAGGUCGAGGUGUAGCGCACGAAGUGGGAAGAAAUGGGCUACAUUUUCUAUCACAGAACACUACGAACAUGCAACAUGAAAUAGUGCUUGAAGGAGGAUUUAGUAGUAAAAAGGAAGCAGAGUGUCCUUUUGAACCCGGCUCUGAGGCGCGUACACACCGCCCGUCACUCUCCCCUGUCAAAACGCAACAAAGAUACUUAACACCAAAGCACUGACAAGGGGAGGCAAGUCGUAACAUGGUAAGUGUACCGGAAGGUGCACUUGGAUU